rnacentral:rRNA from 1 species
AACAGGAUUAGAUACCCUGGUAGUCCGCACGGUAAACGAUGGAUGCCCGCUGUUAGCGCCUGGCGUUAGCGGCUAAGCGAAAGCAUUAAGCAUCCCACCUGGGGAGUACGCCGGCAACGGUGAAACUCAAAGGAAUUGACGGGGGCCCGCACAAGCGGAGGAACAUGUGGUUUAAUUCGAUGAUACGCGAGGAACCUUACCCGGGCUUGAAUUGCAGACGCAGGAUACAGAGAUGUUGACUCCCUUCGGGGCGUCUGUGAAGGUGCUGCAUGGUUGUCGUCAGCUCGUGCCGUGAGGUGUCGGCUUAAGUGCCAUAACGAGCGCAACCCCUUUCCUUAGUUGCCAUCAGGUCAUGCUGGGCACUCUGGGGAUACUGCCACCGCAAGGUGUGAGGAAGGUGGGGAUGACGUCAAAUCAGCACGGCCCUUACGUCCGGGGCUACACACGUGUUACAAUGGCCGGUACAGAGGGACGGUGCAAUGUAAAUUGCAUCCAAUCUUGAAAGCCGGUCCCAGUUCGGACUGAGGUCUGCAACCCGACCUCACGAAGCUGGAUUCGCUAGUAAUCGCGCAUCAGCCAUGGCGCGGUGAAUACGUUCCCGGGCCUUGUACACACCGCCCGUCAAGCCAUGAAAGCCGGGGGUGCCUGAAGUUCGUAACCGCGAGGAGCGACCUAGGGCAAAACUGGUGAUUGGGGCUAAGUCGUAACAAGGUAGCCGUACCGGAAGGUGCGGCUG